rnacentral:rRNA from 1 species
GAUGAACGCUGGCGGCGUGCCUAAUACAUGCAAGUCGAGCGAACAGACGAGGAGCUUGCUCCUUUGACGUUAGCGGCGGACGGGUGAGUAACACGUGGAUAACCUACCUAUAAGACUGGGAUAACUUCGGGAAACCGGAGCUAAUACCGGAUAACAUGUUGAACCGCAUGGUUCAACAGUGAAAGACGGUCUUGCUGUCACUUAUAGAUGGAUCCGCGCCGCAUUAGCUAGUUGGUAAGGUAACGGCUUACCAAGGCAACGAUGCGUAGCCGACCUGAGAGGGUGAUCGGCCACACUGGAACUGAGACACGGUCCAGACUCCUACGGGAGGCAGCAGUAGGGAAUCUUCCGCAAUGGGCGGAAGCCUGACGGAGCAACGCCGCGUGAGUGAAGGAGGUCUUCGGAUCGUAAAACUCUGUUAUUAGGGAAGAACAAAUGUGUAAGUAACUAUGCACGUCUUGACGGUACCUAAUCAAAAAGCCACGGCUAACUACGUG